CAUGCAGUCGAACGAGAAUCUACUGAAGGAGGAUUCGUCCAACGGAUGUAGAGGAAAGUGGCGGACGGGUGAGUAACGCGUGAGGAACCUGCCUUGAAGAGGGGGACAACAGUUGGAAACGACUGCUAAUACCGCAUGACGCAUAGGGGUCGCAUGAUCUUUAUGCCAAAGAUUUAUCGCUUCAAGAUGGCCUCGCGUCUGAUUAGCUAGUUGGCGGGGUAACGGCCCACCAAGGCGACGAUCAGUAGCCGGACUGAGAGGUUGAACGGCCACAUUGGGACUGAGAUACGGCCCAGACUCCUACGGGAGGCAGCAGUGGGGAAUAUUGGGCAAUGGGCGCAAGCCUGACCCAGCAACGCCGCGUGAAGGAAGAAGGCUUUCGGGUUGUAAACUUCUUUUAAGAGGGAAGAGCAGAAGACGGUACCUCUAGAAUAAGCCACGGCUAACUACGUGCCAGCAGCCGCGGUAAUACGUAGGUGGCAAGCGUUGUCCGGAUUUACUGGGUGUAAAGGGCGUGCAGCCGGGUCUGCAAGUCAGAUGUGAAAUCCAUGGGCUCAACCCAUGAACUGCAUUUGAAACUGUAGAUCUUGAGUGUCGGAGGGGCAAUCGGAAUUCCUAGUGUAGCGGUGAAAUGCGUAGAUAUUAGGAGGAACACCAGUGGCGAAGGCGGAUUGCUGGACGAUAACUGACGGUGAGGCGCGAAAGUGUGGGGAGCAAACAGGAUUAGAUACCCUGGUAGUCCACACUGUAAACGAUGAAUACUAGGUGUGCGGGGACUGACCCCCUGCGUGCCGCAGUAAACACAAUAAGUAUUCCACCUGGGGAGUACGAUCGCA
rnacentral:rRNA from 1 species